UUAAUAUCCCAACAUACCAAAAAUACAAUACAGCUUGAGAAUAAUAUUAUGAAAAUAGUUUAUCGUAAGAAUUUUUCAACAAUGCUAGAGAAACACUUUUUUGCACAAACUUUUCUCAAAUCUGUCCUUUGUUGACAAAAUUGUUUUGAUUUUUUUUUUUUUGAGAAAUUUUUCGACAAAAAAUAUUUUCUUUGGUUAAAAUCAAAAUCACGCGAAUUUAGGACCAUUUCCGGACGAAACUCUAAGAAUAGAGGCGUCAAAAGUUGCAAGAAUUCAAGAGAAGUGAAGAAUUAGUGGAGGAGAUGCAGAAGCUCAAAUAAGGGGAAAGAAAGCAUCUAGGACCAAGGCAAAAGGAGGCAGUGAGAGUUGGGAUGGUCAUCAAUGAAUGAAAUGUGUAAAAUAAUUAAAAAAAAAAUGAAAAAAUAACUAUUUUAUACCAUUGAAAAAAUAAGCUUGAUAUAAUAUUGCUUUCGUAAGCUUAUUCUACAAUUACAAGAAUAAGCUUAUGAAUAAGGGUUCCGUUUCGAUUAUUCUAUAAUUGUUAAACAAGCAUUUCUCAAUACAUUCUCAAGAUUUUCUCAAGCUUAA